GCUAGUUAUCCUAGUGUAUAAAGAGUUGAAAAAAAUCAACAAAGUAAAAGAAGUUCAUGGGAAAGCAGGCAAAUCAUAUGAACAGAGCUUUCACAGAAAUGGACAAAUAGAUGGCUCUCAAACACAAACCUGCAUGUCUACAUGAAAAUUGCAAGUUAAAAUUACACUAUGCUAUGUUUUCAUCUAUCAAGUUGGCAGUGAUCAAAAAGGUUUAUGACUCAGGGUGUUGGCAGGGAUCUGUGGAAAACCAUUGUCUUAUGUAAGUGGUGGGAGUGUAAGUCAGUUUAGCAGUACCUUUCUGUUUUAAACAUGCACACACCCUUUGACCUAGUAAUUCCCUUUUUAAGAAUUUAUACUAUAAACAUGUUUACUUACAUGCAAUGUAAUGAGCUGUGAGGUUAUUUGUUACAGCAUUGUUUAUAGUAACAAAGAUUGGAAAACUACCUAAAUGUUCAUCCAUACGGGGCUAAUUCAUUAAACCAAUAUUUAUAAUAUUUUCAACUAUAAAAGAAUUUGGAAAUUCUUUGCAUGUUAAUAUUGGAAGAUAUACUAUAUAUUAAAAAGGGAAAAACUAGGUGUAAAACAAGCAAAUAAUUUAUCUUUUUUUGAAGGGUUUAAAUAAUCUCUAGGUCUGUGAAUAUACCAUACACACAUAUAUGUUCAUUGAUACUGACAAAAAACCCUGAUAAAACCAGUUGCUUUUGAGGAGGGAAGCUAGGUGCCUGGGAGCAGGGCAAGGAGAGAGUUUUUGUUGUAUCUGAUGUAGUUUUUGUUGUAGCUAGUGUUUAACACUUUUUGAUUUUUGAUCCAUGUGAGUAUAUUAUCUACCCACAAAGGAAGACAAUCAGAAAAGAAGGACAGAGCGAUGGAGUGAGGAAGAAAAAUUUUAAAAAGGAAGGAAUUUGCCUUUAGGAACUUGUACUGGCAGAAGAGGGGAGAUUUAUUUAUAUGAUUUGUGAGCAUUUGUAUAUUUUAUUUUGAUUUAAGGAAAAUGUCAAUUAUGAAGGCCAUUGUAUUUGCCAAGAUACAACAGAGUAUUUACAUCACUGGUUCUCAGUGCCCGACAUUUUCCUAAAGAUUUGCCAAGGAUGAUGUGAAAUUCUGUGUGCUACCUUCCACACAUAAGAAACCACAUCCAAAUGCAAGAGACUCAAGUUGACAUUAUUGUGGUUCUAAUCUUGGCUAUGCUGUACUAUAUUAAAAGAAGUAGAUCUUGGCAAACUGGGUAUUUUCAACAUGAUUUAAUAACAAAUUUAGUUGGAACAUCUUGCAGGUCAUCAGGACAAACCAGUGUGACAACAUCGUAGCUGAGAACAGCUAAUAUAUACUGUCAUUAUCACUUUUAAGCAAGAAUACUGGAGUGGGUUACCAGGCCCUCCUCCAGGGGAUCUUCCUGACCCAGGGAUCGAACCCCAGUCUCUUAUAUCUCCUGUAUUGGCAGGUGGGUUCUUUACCACUAGUGCCACCUGGGAAGCCCCAAACUGCACAUAUUUCAAGUAUAAUCUUUGAUGAGCUUUGACAUAUGUAUGUACCUGUGAAACCAUCACCAUUGAGAGUGAAUACACCUGUCACCCCCAGAAUGCCUCAUGUCUCUUGGCAAUUCCCUGCCCCUCCC
ensembl:lncRNA